UUAAGUAUCAACAGUUUGAGAAUCUGUCUGUAAAAAGGCACGAAAACCACCGACUUGCAUCUGAUAAGUAACAUUUACCGUUUCAUCCGUAAAACUGCACCAAAGUGGUUGCGUUUAAUACAAUUUUGCUUCGUAGAAAAACAGAAUGGAUUGCUACAUGAGGGAAAUAUUCAACCUCGUGCUCUGGCGAGAUGCACAAGUCGUUAAUAUCUAUGGCUGACAGACUCACAUAGGAGCACAGCAGAGUGGUUGCAAGCUUAAUGAAAGUUUGCAGUCAGCCACAGAAGUGCGUCGAAGGUUUGCAGAACAAUUUCCAGAGAGACAGCCACCAACUCGUUCAACAAUUUAUUGCAUUUACCUGAAGAUUGCAGCAAACUAGAUCAGUAGUUAUCACGGAAAUGCGAGGCUACCUAGAACUGCCAGAAGUGAGGUAAAUAUUGCUUUAAUGCAGGACGCCAUACUACGGAGACCAUCAAAAUUAACGAGACAUUGAAGUCUGGACAAACUAAAGGACAAAAUAAAACGUUUGAUAUCCAACAUUUUUCCUCAGAAAUGUGUGUUCUGGCAGUAAAUUGUACUGUUGAACGUUGGUUUGAGUGCAUUACUCGGGCUGGUGGUCAGGUUGAGACUCUGUUUAACGAAAACUGUGAAUAAAUGCUUUCCCUUA